GACGAACGCUGGCGGCGUGCUUAACACAUGCAAGUCGAACGAUGAAGUUCCUUCGGGAAUGGAUUAGUGGCGAACGGGUGAGAAACACGUGAGAAACCUGCCUUUCAUUUUGGGAUAACUCCGGGAAACCGGAGCUAACACCGAAUACUCCGUCUCGGCGGCAUCGCUGAGCCGGGAAAAAAUUUUGAUGAAAGAUGGUCUCGCGGCCUAUCAGCUAGUUGGUGAGGUAAUGGCUCACCAAGGCGACGACGGGUAGCCGGCCGGAGAGGGCGACCGGCCACACUGGGACUGAGACACGGCCCAGACUCAUACGGGAGGCAGCAGUGGGGGAUAUUGGGCAACGGGCGCAAGCCUGACCCAGCGACGCCGCGUGAGGGAUGAAGGCCUUCGGGUUGUAAACCUCUUUCAGUAGGGAAGAAGCGAAAGUGACGGUACCUAAAGAAGAAGCACCGGCUAACUAUGUGCCAGCAGCCGCGGUAA
rnacentral:rRNA from 1 species